CAGUGCAUUAAUCGGAGUUUAUUUGUCGAACAAAUAGCCCUGUCCUCUUUGAUGAUGGAUUUAAGCUUUUAAAUAGUGGCUUGGUUUCACAUGCUGUUUCAAGUGACAUAAUAUGGCAUUUUUCUUGUUGUAGUAAUUAUAUAAUGUGUGUUUUAGAAGGUUUCAGCUAGCUAUAGUCCAGCAAAUUAAUCAACGAUUAGAUAUGUGUGCGUAAUGGAAAUGAAACAAAAGGUAAUUGUGUGAUAGAGUAAAAGCUUGAUCCUUUAAUAUAUCUGAUAGCUGCAAAGGUAAAGUUGAAGUUGACAAUAUGCAUCACAUACUUAUACUUUAUACCCUCAUUCAUCAUGUUUUGGGAGAUCAGAUCACCCAAUUAGUUUUGCAUUGGAUAUGAUGCUCCCUUGAAAAGUCAUGCUAUGAAUUAGCUAUACAUGUUACUGUCAUCAAUUUGUUAUUUGAUGGUAAGUCCUCAGAAGGCAUGCUCAUAUUCAGUUCCGCAUGCCAUAAUAAGCACACUUGAUCUUCUUAAUAUCUUAAAAUUUAAACAGUCCUGUAGUACAAUUGCUUUCUGAUGUUUCAGAUUGUAUAGUGCAUAUUCGUACCUGCCAUAAUUGUUAGUUCAAUAUGUGUUCAUAUAUAUAUAUAUGUCAACAGGUGAAUUGAAAGUAUAAAUCAAACUACAUUUGUUCCUUUUAUUUAGGUUGAGUUAAAUGGGGCACUUGAAACCCUGUGUGAGCAAGGAUUUGGUGCAUGGUCAUAUAGAAUGUUGGGAUUUUAUCUGCAAGCUUUUUCCAUCAUAUUUGCUUUCUUUAUUCUACAGUCUACAUCAUUCCAGGGUUGUAUACAGAAUUACAGAUUGAAUUAAAAGAAGUUCAUGAACACACCAAAUCGAACAAGCCAGAGAUAAUAAUCUGUGCCAUUCUGUACAUACUAGAACUGCCUAUUUUUACUUCAGAUACUCAGACCAAGAGAAGGAAAUUCAUGAAAGAAGAAUGAGGGAAUAAACCAAUUCUGCACCUUUUUUUUUUUUUUUUUUCUAAUUUUGUUGCAGAUUUCACUGAGUUGUAAAUCAAGUUCAUGAAUUGUUCUGUUAAUUUCAAAUUGUUCUGCGCUUUCAGCCUUUUUCUAUCCAUCCAUAUACUUAUUGUUCUGUUAAUUUGUUACAAUGGUCCGCCUAUGUGUGUCUCCCAUGAAUUCAUUUCUCUGCAUUUUUGUUACAAUGGUCACUUUAAAAGAAACAAUAUGGUUUUAAGAUGGAGGAAAGUUUGAAAUCUGUUGUCAAAUUUUUUUAAAGAAAGGUAGAAAUAACUGAUACUGAGUAUGCAACUUUUUGAAUGUGAGAGGCUCAAGUUAUUAGGAAUUUUCAAAUUUUAAAAAAAAUGGCCAUAUAGAUUUUCAUUUCAAAAACCCUAAAUUAGAUUGGCUUGCUGUUCAUUUUGCCUAUUGUCAGGCAAACUUAAAUCCAUAGUACAAUUGUAAAGAUAAACUUUUGUCAAGGAGUUUGAAUUUAUUAUCAAUUUGCAGUCCUUUGUAGAGAAACACUGGAAUGAGCAUGGAAAACCUGCUGUAGAGGUGAUGAUUCAGAAGCUGACUAGCUCCAAGUUCUUAAUUGUCAUGCCGUAGAGAAAAAAGCUGAAGCUGGAGAGUGGGCUGAAUACCAUGUGGAAGCAGUUAAAACUAAAUGGAUCCCUGCAGUCAAGGAACAGUGGUCAGUGGUGAAAGAAUUUGUUGAACCUCAACAAAGUCUAUUGAAGCUUAUACAUCAAAGGGUACAUUAGCUCCCCAUGUUAUAAAAGCAUAAGAAUUUGUUGAUCCUUACUUUCAGGAGGCAAAGAAGUUGAGCAAACCAUAUGUUGAUCACGUAGCCAUUGUUGCAAAACCUCAUGUUGAAAAAGUUAAAGAAGGUGGUUCAGGCCUACGAGAAAUUUCUCAAAUCCGCUUCCACAUAUCAUCAUAAAGUAUUGGCUUUUUGUCAUGCUGUGUAACUUUGUGAUAAUCUCUAUGGUUUUUUGUAAUGCUGACGAUCCUUAAAAACAAUAUUGUCAUGCUUUGUACUUAUACACUGGUUGUCAGGACCAUUCUCUAUGUUUUUUGUAAUGCUAAUGGUCCCUAAAAAACAAUCAACCAAAA